rnacentral:rRNA from 1 species
GAGGAUCUGCUCCUAGUACGAGAGGACCAGAGUGGACGAACCUCUGGUGUACCGGUUGUGACGCCAGUCGCAUCGCCGGGUAGCUAUGUUCGGAAGGGAUAACCGCUGAAAGCAUCUAAGCGGGAAGCCUACCUCAAGAUAAGAUUUCCCCGAGGCUUUAUGCCUCCUAAAGAGCCGUUGAAGACUACGACGUUGAUAGGUUGGAUGUGGAAGCAUAGCGAUAUGUGAAGCUGACCAAUACUAAUUGCUCGUGAGGCUUGACUAUACAACACCCAAACAGUUG